UUUACAGUAUUUGGCACCGAGGCUUUCUUGUCCAAAAUAUGUAGGUUUAAAAACAUGAAGAAAUAAUAUCCGACAGCUAACAGCGCGUUGCGUCCCGUUCAAGUGCAUGCCUUCACGUCUCUGUGUGUAAAUAUCAGUCAGUUAUGGAUUCUGCCUUUGAGAGGCACUGCUCGGAGCUGGUCGCCCGGGAACGAAGCGGACAUACUGCUGUGUUGCAUGACAAUCUCCUUCUGUUGCUGAGGAAGAAGUUUUCUUACCUAAUGAUGAAAUCUGGGUGUAUGAACUAGACGCAGGUAUUUGGAAGGUGUUUCACAUGGAUGGGGACGUCCCUCCCCCCAUGUCUGGGACCUGCAGCUGCUACAUGAAUGGACACAUGUACAUAUUUGGAGGUUGUGAUGACAAUGGACAGACCAAUCAGAUGUACGGCGUCAACCUGGAAGAUGGGAAAUAUACAUGGAAGAGGAUAAUGCAUGAGUUUGGCUCAGCCCCCUCUCCCUGAGACAAAUUGUCCUGCUGGGUUUAUAAUGGACGGCUCGCCUACUUUGGUGGUUAUGGUCACAAACUACUGAGUGAUCUCGACCGGAGGAGUGGAAGCUUUAUUGUGGAUGAAACUUCAUGGGUGGGAGAUGUCUUUUGGGGAUGGAACAAUGAAGUUCACAUAUUUGACCCCAUGCAGUCCAGCUGGAGUGAACCGCGGACCCACGGCUGAGCUCCUGCUCCAAGGGCAGCCCAUGGCAGUGCUGCGCUCGGUUGCAGAGGAUACAUUUGUGGAGGUAGAGUUAUGGAAACCAGGACAAAUGACAUCCAUUGCUUAAACCUUGAAUCAUGGACAUGGUCAGAAAUAAUCCCGUUGUCCCCAACUC